rnacentral:rRNA from 1 species
AAGCACCUUCGGGUGUGAGUAGAGUGGCGCACGGGUGAGUAACGCGUGGGAACCUGCCUUUCUCUGCGGGAUAACGGUUGGAAACGACCGCUAAUACCGCAUACGCCCUACGGGGGAAAGGUCCGCCGGAGAAAGAGGGGCCCGCGUCUGAUUAGCUUGUUGGUAGGGUAAUGGCCUACCAAGGCGACGAUCAGUAGCUGGUCUGAGAGGAUGAUC